CGGUGAGCCCCGGGAUCGGCUGAGCCCCCUCCGUGAGGGGAGCGCUCGGGUGAGCCCCGGGAUCGGUUGAGCCCCCUCCGUGAGGGGAGCGCUCGGGUGAGCCCCGGGACCGGCUGAGCCCCGGCCGUGAGGGGAGCGCUGCGGUGCUGGAUCAGGGCCUUAUUAAAAGUGAGCAGGUGUCUUCAGCUGCUACUUCUGCUGCCCUGUCGUUGUGGUUUUAUCUACUGCCACUCUUCGACUAUCUCAAGUAACCAAGCAUCACAGCGCUGGUGACAGCUGAUCAGGAAUUAGAGGGCUUCUUUCCAAUGGCUUCACAGGAUACAGAAGAACUGUAGGUAAAGGAUACAGUUUAACAUCAGACAGCUCCAUGUCCGCUGGGCAGGAAAAGCAAUGGCCCUCAGGGAGAGACACAGUCCGUGCCCACAGGAAAAGCAAUGUCCCUCAGGGAGAGAGCUUCUUUCACCAAAAACUUUUGUCAAGCUCCCUCAAAGGAAGACAAUGCCCUCCACAAGGGGAGAAGAGCAAUCAAAGUUUGGUAUUGCUUGUUAAAUGGCACUUUCAGUCCUCUGAACAAUGAUGGUAAAGUCUUCUGUGCAGCUUAAGGAGCAAAGAAUACCAAAUGCUGGUUCAACGCUGCUUGUAUGAAGUCUACUUGUAAACAAAAAAGAUCAAAGCUCACAGACUAAUCCACAAGGGAACCGAACUCUUUGCCAGCAUCCCUGUGUGAUGUACUGCUUUACUUAUGCCUAGCUUAUCCUGUCAUAACAUUUACCUAUGCUAAUGUGCAGAGAUCCUUAGGUAGCUGACUCCAGACCUUAUCCUGUGAUUCAUCACCUAUAAUGCACCAGUAACAUACAAAAUCAGAGUUCACCUUGCCUUGACCUGAGGGCGGGACUUAAAUUAGCAACACAGCAGCAGCACUGUCCUUUUGCCACCGAAGGGCUGCAAGUACCUCACAAGUAGGUACAAGGAGUCAAAUGUUGGUACCACCAGCCUUCCUCCCCGGAAACACCCUCAGAGAAUCCAGAGAUCACAGCUUGGAGCACAGAGCUGGUGAGCAGUGCAGAGCAGUGGGGACUGCUCCUUCCUGACAUCUGCAUUGGGGCUCCAUUUUCCACCAUCAAAUCAUGCUCCUGUGUUUAGACCUUGCAGAAAUUAAUUGAUUACUGAAUCCCAGUUCAGGAAAAAGGCAGCAAGUGGAUAAGAGAAUUUGGUGAGUUUUUUUUUUCAAUUCUUAUUAAAAUAUUAAUGUCCGUAUUUAUAUAAUAUUUUAAAAUGUUUUGUAUUAAUGUGAUGCACUGAAUAUGCCAAAGAUGAAAAAGUUGUCCAUAGAUCAAAUGUCUCAUGGCUAAAAACAUCUUUCUGAUGACAAACCUAAGUUGACAACUCUGUUAAUAGGAUUAGGUUCAUUAAGGGUCUACUUUCUCUUAUAAAUCUGGCCCAGAUAGCAUGGAGCUUUAGAUCUUAUGUGGCAAAGGGGGGCCCUGCUUAGUCCUGAAUUCCAUGUUUUUACUUAAAAUGCUUGCUAGUGAUUGAUAUUGGUAAUAUUCAGUGUUUCUAGACUAUACUAGGCUACCUGAAAUUACUUUCAAUUUUCAAAAUAUUUAAUGCAUUAUCACAAGCCUGAGAGCAUUUUUUGCCAGAAUGUUGUAUUACAGCACUGAUUUUUUUUUCAGGGACACAUUAGCAUGCAUGUAGUAGUUUCAUUCUCUUCCUGCUAUAACACGUUUUCAUAAGGGCUGAUGAAAACCAAGAAAUGCUGUAUAGAGAGAAACAAAUGCAGGAAAACGUAUCCUGCAAUACUGUUUUCUGGCUUAGAGCUACUCUCCUACCUUGGAGACAAAUCUUCUAUUGUUAUUACUGAAAUAUGGCCCCAGAGAGCCCAAGAUCCUACUGGACAUGGGUCAGAUCACCACUGCAUACUUGUGUGUCUAUGAGGUGCUCAGCCAAGGGAGACUGGUGACCUGGACACCAUCUCCAGCUGUAAAAACCAUUGCAAGUGGGAGAAUUUGAAAACCAGAGAUACCCAGCUCCACUGAUGUUUAGUUGAGACCUGGACAUUCAAGUAUCCUGGAGCUUUCCAAAGCAGCCCCUCUUGGGGCUGAAAGCUGUGGCAAGACACUGGGUAAAUGCUGUUCAGGAGCUGUCUCAGCCUAUGCCUCCAAAAGGAAAGCAAAGCCUAAUGAUAUUUUACUCCUCAGCUGCUAAUUUAAAUGCUGGUGUUUAGAGACUUAGGCCUCCAAUCCAAUAAAUCACUUAAAAUCUUGGACUUAAUUUUUUUGCAUAAUUAAUCUUUCUGUAAUUAAACUCACCCUCAGGGUAUGUUGUCCAGCUAGAGCACCAGAGGAACCAGGCUCUUAGGGGUGGAAUGCAUCUUACCUGAGUUCAGAUGCUGCCUGGCUUCCCUCUGGAAGAGACACAGCCACUGGGAGGUGACCCAGCUCCACCUUGAAUGCUUAUUUAAAAGUUUGGCUAGAUGAGGCCACAGGUGCUGGUCUCUUUCUGUUGAUGAUAAGUCCCUAAAUGACUUGCUUGGAUUAAGCACUACAUGUUUUAGCAGCUAAAUUUAUAGGAGAUAGAUUCUUUACCUUCCUCCAUUUUAAUUAAUCAAAAAAACAUGGGAAAGUACUGAUCAGAAAAUGAGUGGUAAUGACUCGUAGCUGACAGGUCACUAAUACAAAUAAACUCUCAAAUUGCUAAGAACCACAUAUCCUUGAGGGGUAUAAAUGAAAUAUGCCAACAUCUUCCCAGUAGUGACAGGUCAGAGGAAAUGUGUGAUCCAAACCCCUGGGAAGAGUACUCUGUCCUGUAUUACCUCUCUGCUGCCCAUGGCAGAAGCCUACAAAAUACCACAAUCAUUUAAAAAAUUAUUUGAAAUAAGUUGCUUGAAGCUUGUGCUUUCAAUAUUUUGGUUUUCCUGGAAAUAUUUGACAGUGCCAAGUUCACUAAAGAAAAAGGAAUGGACAGUUUAAAAUUGGUUGAAAUUUGGCCUCUGGGCUAGAUGAGCUCAUGAGCUACAGGCUUACCUUGGGCAGUCUGUACUUUUCUCUCAGGUGAACCCUCAGAACAGCUCGCUCUGCUUUUUUCUGUGCAAAUGCUGCAUCUCUU